rnacentral:rRNA from 1 species
CCUACGGGUGGCUGCAGUGGGGAAUAUUGGGCAAUGGGCGCAAGCCUGACCCAGCAACGCCGCGUGAAGGAAGAAUGCUUUCGGGUUGUAACCUUCUUUUGUCAGGUACGAAGCAAGUUACGGUACCUAACGAAUAAGCCACGUCUAACUACGUGCCAGCAGCCGCGGUAAUACGUAGGUGGCAAGCGUUAUCCGGAUUUACUGGGUGUAAAGUGCGUGUAGGCGGGACUGCAAGUCAGAUGUGAAAACCACGGGCUCAACCUGUGGCCUGCAUUUGAAACUGUAGUUCUUGAGUACUGGAGAGGCAGACGGAAUUCCUAGUGUAGCGGUGAAAUGCGUAGAUAUUAGGAGGAACACCAGUGGCGAAGGCGGUCUGCUGGACAGCAACUGACGCUGAGGCGCGAAAGCGUGGGGAGCAAACAGGAUUAGAUACCCUAGUAGUC